CAGCAGCCGCGGGAAAAUGGAGGGAGCUAGCGUUGUUCGGAAUUACUGGGCGUAAAGCGCGCGUAGGCGGUUACUCAAGUCAGAGGUGAAAGCCCGGGGCUCAACCCCGGAACUGCCUUUGAAACUAGGUGACUAGAAUCUUGGAGAGGUCAGUGGAAUUCCGAGUGUAGAGGUGAAAUUCGUAGAUAUUCGGAAGAACACCAGUGGCGAAGGCGACUGACUGGACAAGUAUUGACGCUGAGGUGCGAAAGCGUGGGGAGCAAACAGGAUUAGAUACCCCCGUAGUCCCUGUCUCUUAUAC
rnacentral:rRNA from 1 species